GGUUUUGCCCUGUGUCGUGGUCGCCUGAGUCGCAAGGACGGGCGAUAAUAGGGAAGCCGGUGCGGGCAAAUUGCUCCUGUCCGGCGCUGCCCCCGCAACUGUGAUAGUCGGCUACGCCGACCAGCCAGAUACCUGCCACGACAGGUUCAAUCAA
rnacentral:ncRNA from 2 species